UCCCACCUUAAAACUACGCCGGAUAAUACAAACCCAAAUUUAAAAUUCAAAGACCUUGGCGGUGUCUUAUGCAAUCAGGGGAACCUGUCCCUUAAUUCGAUAAUCCACGAACGCUCAACCUUCCCUCGAAUACCAGCCUGUGUACUGCCGUCGCAAGUAUGCCUCAAAGAGACAGCAUACAAUAAUACCUCCUAUCGACGUCAGGUCAAAGUGCAGCCAAUGAGAAGGCGGAGAUGGGUUACACCUUUUACACAAACUACCAAUACCUUUUAUAUAAAAAGAUCAAAGCUGGACUUGACAGUAACUAUGCUCACUAAAACAUCCUGAACUGAACUCUAAGACAUGUACACAUCGCCCGUCACUCUUGUCGAAAGAUA
rnacentral:rRNA from 1 species